rnacentral:rRNA from 1 species
AUUGAACGCUGGCGGCAGGCCUAACACAUGCAAGUCGAGCGAGCGGCGGACGGGUGAGUAAUGUAUGGGGACUGCCCGAUAGAGGGGGAGAACUACUGGAAACGGUGGCUAAUACCGCAUACUAUCGGAUAACCCAUAUGGGAUUAGCUAGUAGGGGGGGUAAAGGCUCACCUAGGCGACGAUCUCUAGCUGGUCUGAGAGGAUGAUAAUCCACACUGGGACUGAGACACGGCUCAGACUCCUACGGAGGCAGCAGUGGGGAAUAUUGCACAAUGGGCUCAAGCCUGAUGCAGCCAUGCCGCGUGUAUGAAGAAGGCCUUAGGGUUGUAAAGUCCUUUCAGCCGGGAGGCGUUACCCUCAGAAGAAGCACCGGCUAACUCCGUGCCAGCAGCCGCGGUAAUUC